rnacentral:rRNA from 1 species
ACACGCUGGCGGCGCGCUUAACACAUGCAAGUCGUGCGGUGUCGAAGGCAAGUCUUACGACAAGCCUUCGACACAGCGGCGAACGGGUGAGUAACACGUGAGUAGCUGUCCUAAGGAGGGGGAUAACGCCUGGAAACGGGUGCUAAUACCCCAUAUGCCUCGCAAGAGGUAAAAGUGUACUUGUUACAGCCUUAGGGUGUGCUCGCGGCCUAUCAGCUAGUUGGUGAGGUAACGGCUCACCAAGGCUAAGACGGGUAGCCGGCCUGAGAGGGUGUACGGCCACACUGGAAUUGAGAUACGGUCCAGACUCCUACGGGAGGCAGCAGUGGGGAAUCCUGGGCAAUGGGCGAAAGCCUGACCCAGCGACGCCGCGUUGGGGAUGAAGCCCUUCGGGGCGUAAACCCAUGUUGUAGGGGACGAAGAAAGUGACGGUACCCUACGAGAAAGCCCCGGCCAACUACGUG